rnacentral:rRNA from 1 species
UACGGAAGGCAGCAGUGGGGAAUAUUGCACAAUGGGCGCAAGCCUGAUGCAGCCAUGCCGCGUGUAUGAAGAAGGCCUUCGGGUUGUAAAGUACUUUCAGUCGUGAGGAAGGUGUUAAGGUUAAUAACCUUAGCAAUUGACGUUAGCGACAGAAGAAGCACCGGCUAACUCCGUGCCAGCAGCCGCGGUAAUACGGAGGGUGCGAGCGUUAAUCGGAAUUACUGGACGUAAAGGGCACGCAGGCGGUUAAUUAAGUUGGAUGUGAAAUCCCCGGGCUUAACCUGGGAAUGGCAUUCAAGACUGGUUAGCUAGAGUCUUGUAGAGGGGGUAGAAUUCCAUGUGUAGCGGUGAAAUGCGUAGAGAUGUGGAGGAAUACCGGUGGCGAAGGCGGCCCCGUGGACAAGACUGACGCUCAUGUGCGAAAGCGUGGGGAGCAACAGGGAUUAGAUA